UGAACAGUCCCUCUUUUCCUGACUGCCUACUUGAGGUUUGAGCUACUGGCUACCCAUUUCGCUUGGUAUCCAGCAGCCAAACCUCAGUAGUGAGUCGGAAUGGCAACAAAGAGGACAC
rnacentral:precursor_RNA from 12 species